rnacentral:rRNA from 1 species
CGACGCUGCGUGAAGGAUGACGGCCUGCGGGUUGUAAACUUCUUUUCUCGAAGAAGAAUAAAUGACGGUAUUCGAGGAAUAAGCAUCGGCUAACUCUGUGCCAGCAGCCGCGGUAAGACAGAGGAUGCAAGUGUUAUUCGGAUUGAUUGGGCGUAAAGCGUCUGUAGGCGGUUUGGAAAGUCUUUUGUGAAAUUCUUCAGCUCAACUGGGGGUCCGCAAAAGAAACUUCUAGGCUUGAGGGAAGUAGAGGUACAGGGAAUUUCCGGUGGAGCGGUGAAAUGCGUAGAUAUCGGAAGGAACACCAAUAUGGCGAAGGCACUGUACUGGGCUUUACCUGACGCUAAGAGACGAAAGCUAAAGGAGUGAUUAGGAUUAGAUACCCUAGUAAUUUUAGCCGUAAACGAUGGAAACUCACUGCCGAGCCGGUAUUCGGAGCGGUGGUCAAGCUAACGCGUGAAGUUUCCCGCCUGGGGACUACGCAUGCAAAUGUGAAACUCAAAGGAAUUGACGGGGACCCGCACAAGCGGUGGAGUAUGUGGUUUAAUUCGAUGCAACGCGAAAAACCUUACCAAGGUUUGAAAUCAUUUCAAAACUCUUUGAAAGAAGAGCCUCCUUCGGGAUGGAAUGACAGGUGGUGCAUGGCUGUCGUCAGCUCGUGUUGUGAAAUGUCAAGUUAAGUCUCGUAACGAGCGCAACCCAUGUCUCUUGUUGCUCACUGAGUGCUUAAGAGAGACUGCCGACCAACAUCGGAGGAAGGUGUGGAUGAUGUCAAGUCAGCAUGCCCCUUACAUCCUGGGCUACACACGUACUACAAUG